UAAAACUUUUAAGUUGAGCAAUUCAACUAUUGUAAAACUUGGCUUUGCUGCUUUUCACAACUAAGAAAAAAGGCUGUCCCUUAUAUUGAAUCCCAACUUAAUUGUUCCCAUAAACGUCAGUAAUUUAUACCGUACCAGCUAGAAUUAAGGAAAGACAAAUCCUGUUUUCUUGAUACAUAAACUGCACCAGAUUAUAAACCACAUGUGUUUUAAAUGUAACGUCCUCAUUUCUAUUAACUGUAUUACCAAAACAAAUCCUCUUACAACAUCAUAAAAAUCAUGAAAGAUCCAUAAAUAAUCCGCACUAGACUAUAUGCUGCAGGGUUCGAAGCUUGUGCAAAUAGUAGCGGUUUAAUAGUCUGGAAAUUACGGUAUUUAAUUUUUUUCCCUACCUAAAUUACUGUUUUAGGCUCAAAAUAUAAAUUGUGUGAGUUUUUUUUUUUUUUUACAGUGAAGGCAAUUGUGAACAAGGCUUGGAGUGAGAGUCAACAUAAAAGUAAUUUACUAAACUCUCGGAUUGCAGAAGAGUGUACAGUGUUCCUCUGGCUUGUCAAAGAGAAGAUAUAAGUGUGACAUUCAAAAUGAAGAGUGAAGUUAGAAAACAAGCGUCCAUGGCUGCCUCAUUUCAGGCCGCCAUUGACAAGAUGGGCUGGUUGUAAGAUAACAUGAGAGAGAAGAAAGCCCUGACAGAAUGUGACAAAUGUGAGGGACCCAAUCAGGAUGUGUCAGGCUGGAACCUAUUGGAAUCUGUGCAAAACCACA